GUCUUGACUGGGAGAGGCCUUAUGACAGUACAGAUGGAGAAGAAUAAAGAUAAACAAAGAAGACAUCAGCUGUAAUUCACUUGGAGAAGACGUCAGCUGUGAUUCUCUGGAUGUAACUUGUGUACGGCUUCUCACCUUUAUUGACGUUCUGUCCUCCAGGACCGCUGCUCUUGCUGUAUGAGAUGCUCAGACGAUCUGAAAACACAUUUGGUUAAGAAAAGCUACCAGAUCAUUACAGUAAGGGCAUGGAUAACACUAACCUCCAGGAGGAGAUCAUCACCCCAACCUGAGAAAUUUGCAGAUAUAUAAUGGUAUUUACAUGUCAUCCUCUAAAGUCCAAUACCUGAGCAUCACUCACAGAAGAUAUUGAUGCCAAUGGUCCUAUGGACAUCCUGUACAAUGUUGAAAACGUGAAGAGGCAAGUGAUCAUAUAUAAACUAAUUUUAAACAUUAUAUUACAGAAUAAAUAAUAUUCAAACCCAGGACACAA